rnacentral:rRNA from 1 species
UUGAACGCUGGCGGCAUGCCUUACACAUGCAAGUCGAACGGUAACGGGCCUUCGGGUGCCGACGAGUGGCGAACGGGUGAGUAAUACAUCGGAACAUGCCCGAUCGUGGGGGAUAACGAGGCGAAAGCUUUGCUAAUACCGCAUACGAUCUACGGAUGAAAGCAGGGGACCGCAAGGCCUUGCGCGGACGGAGCGGCCGAUGGCAGAUUAGGUAGUUGGUGGGAUAAAAGCUUACCAAGCCGACGAUCUGUAGCUGGUCUGAGAGGAUGAUCAGCCACACUGGGACUGAGACACGGCCCAGACUCCUACGGGAGGCAGCAGUGGGGAAUUUUGGACAAUGGGCGCAAGCCUGAUCCAGCCAUGCCGCGUGCAGGAUGAAGGCCUUCGGGUUGUAAACUGCUUUUGUACGGAACGAAAAGCCUUCUUUUAAUACAGGAGGGUCAUGACGGUACCGGAAGAAUAAGCACCGGCUAACUACGUG